rnacentral:rRNA from 1 species
GACGAACGCUGGCGGCGUGCUUAACACAUGCAAGUCGAACGGAAAGGCCCUGCUUGCCGGGUGCUCGAGUGGCGAACGGGUGAGUAACACGUGGGUGAUCUGCCCCUUACUUUGGGAUAAGCCUGGGAAACUGGGUCUAAUACUGGAUAGGACCAUGCUGUAGGUGGUGUGGUGGAAAGAUUAGUUUCGGUAAGGGAUGAGCUCGCGGCCUAUCAGCUUGUUGGUGGGGUAAUGGCCUACCAAGGCGUCGACGGGUAGCCGGCCUGAGAGGGUGGACGGCCACAUUGGGACUGAGAUACGGCCCAGACGCCUACGGGAGGCAGCAGUGGGGAAUAGUGCACAAUGGGCGCAAGCCUGAUGCAGCGACGCCGCGUGGGGGAUGACGGCCUUCGGGUUGUAAACUCCUUUCAGCCAUGACGAAGCCCUUGUGGUGACGGUAGUGGUAGAAGAAGCACCGGCUAACUACGUG